rnacentral:rRNA from 1 species
UGGGGAAUAUUGCACAAUGGGGGAAACCCUGAUGCAGCAACGCCGCGUGAGUGAUGACGGCCUUCGGGUUGUAAAGCUCUGUCUUCAGGGACGAUAAUGACGGUACCUGAGGAGGAAGCCACGGCUAACUACGUGCCAGCAGCCGCGGUAAUACGUAGGUGGCAAGCGUUGUCCGGAUUUACUGGGCGUAAAGGGAGCGUAGGCGGACUUUUAAGUGAGAUGUGAAAUACCCGGGCUCAACCUGGGUGCUGCAUUUCAAACUGGAAGUCUAGAGUGCAGGAGAGGAGAGUGGAAUUCCUAGUGUAGCGGUGAAAUGCGUAGAGAUUAGGAAGAACACCAGUGGCGAAGGCGACUCUCUGGACUGUAACUGACGCUGAGGCUCGAAAGCGUGG